ACAGUGUCAGGAUGAAGUUAAUGAUCUGAGCAGAAUGUCGAUUGUAUGGCUGAUUCCUACAAGUCACAGGGAUGUUAUCGGUUCCUCCAGAAACCUCAGUGCCGACCGGGAUCAGUAAUGACGGGGCUCUGUAAGUGGAAUCUCCAUGCAGAGUUCUGGCUUCAGGGGCUCUGAUGAUGUCCCAGGACCUGGCCUCUCUCAUGCUGGCUCCAUUCCCAGGCCGUGUGGCUCCAGGAAGCGAGGGAUAGAAGUGGUGCAGACGUGACCCUGGGGCAUCAAACCUGCCGAGGCCUUGCGGCUGGUCACUGUGAUCUCGGGGCAG